ACAACGUUACUCCACCAUUAUUCUUGUAAUCUGUGUCAUCAAUGAUGUGUCUUCUUCCAACUUGUUGCCCAAUUAACGACGCCGUUAACAGCUUCUUCUCAUUUCCUCUUCCUCAAAAUCAAAACCGAGUAAACGCCGUUAAAUUCCGUCAAAAAUCCACGUCAAAGUCGUCAUUCAACGCUGAACACUAUAAUAAUUCCCACGUCUACAACGCAUAUCUUCUUCACUCUUCUUCUUCAACGGUACCAAAUUUCUCCACCAAACACGCUCCCAAUUUGUCACCGUUCAAUUGCCGGAAUAUUCGCCGGAACCAUUCAAAAAGUUCAUCGUUGAUCUGAGUUCACCUUAUCUAUAUACUAAGCUUCAGAUCAUCCAUUUCCUCUUUGGUUCUUAUUCCUCCGUUAAUAAGAAUCCGCUCGUUGUUCUCUGCCUUUGGAUUUCUCUAUUUAACUUUAUUUCUAAUUUUUUUACCCAAAUCCAAUUUCUGAAACCCUAAUUUCCGAUUUCCCAAAGCUUCUAGCUCGCUUUUCUAUGGCCCAUUUCAAGUAAAUUCAUAUAUGGGCCUAUUAUGAAUCUCUAGGGCUUUGGGAAGUUUUAAUUUGGUUUUAUUCUUUUUUUAAUUUGUACAGUUUUCGAUCUGUGAAGAGGAACACAGAAUGUAUGUAAAAAUGGGUUUGUGAAAAUCUUGGUAAAUUAUCUUUUGUUUAGGGGUUUAUAUUUUUCAGGUUGAUUUGAUUUUUUUUGGAAUUUAGGGUUUGAAAAUUUUGGAUUAGUGGAAAGAUGUCUUCAGCUGGGGUGAUUGCGAUUAGUCCUAUGUGCAAAGAAUCUUUGAUGAUUCCUGCAGAUCUCCAUAGCCAAGAAUCAAUUUUGAUAUUCGUGGCUAUGUCAGGGUCAAUGGUACCAAUGAGGGUUCUGGAUUGAUGAUUCCUGCAGAUUUCCAUAGCCAAGAAUCAAUUUUGAUAUACGUGGCUAUGUCAGGGUCAAUGGUACCAAUGAGGGUUCUGGAAUAUGAUUCAAUUGACUCUGUGAAGCUUCAGAUUCAAACCUGUAAAGGAUUUGUUGUGAAAAAUCAA
rnacentral:lncRNA from 1 species